rnacentral:rRNA from 1 species
UACGUAGGGGGCAAGCGUUGUCCGGAAUUAUUGGGCGUAAAGAGCGUGUAGGCGGUCCGGUAAGUCAGCUGUGAAAGUCAAGGGCUCAACCCUUGAAUGCCGGUUGAUACUGUCGGGCUAGAGUCCGGAAGAGGCGAGUGGAAUUCCUGGUGUAGCGGUGGAAUGCGCAGAUAUCAGGAGGAACACCGAUGGCGAAGGCAGGUCACUGGGCCGCAACUGACGCUGAGGAGCGAAAGCAUGGGGAGCGAACAGG